rnacentral:lncRNA from 1 species
AGAAUAAUGACCAAGCAUACCACACAUGAUCAUAUCACACGAGCGGGAAAGAUGGCCGGAUGGCGAUGCCGCAGAUCCCCUCGGGCUUGUCUAUGAUGCCCUUCUUCAUUCUGAGGUAUCCGUUGUCACCCCACUUCUCACCCCAUGAGUUUUUCACGAUCCAGUAACUCUCCCGAGUCACCUCGUCCUUCCCGUACCCGACCACCGUGACUCCAUGGUUCAGCCGCGUCCCGCAUGGACCAUUGUACACGCCAUUCCGGUAGUGCUGGAAGUUGGCUCCGCCAGCCUCGAUCGACACCGCCACGGGUUGCAUGGCCACCGCGUUUGUCAAUGAUAGCUCGCUCCUCGUCGCCACACGUUGGAAGCCUGAGAUGGAAGCGGCAUGGUGUGAAAGCUUUGUGGUGUCACAAGUGUCGUCCUUUGCCGUAUAUGGAUAGUCGUCCUGAGAGGUGAUGCCGCCGUUGGAGGUGAUCCACUGUAGCGCACGAUAGCUCACUCCACCGUUGCAACCAUGGUCCA